rnacentral:rRNA from 1 species
AACGAACGCUGGUGGCGUGCUUAACACAUGCAAGUCGAACGAGAAAAUUUCCUUCGGGGAACUAGUAAAGUGGCGCAAGGGUGAGUAACACGUGGAAUAAUCUGCCCUCGAGAUCGGGAUAACAUGGUGAAAACUAUGCUAAUACCGGAUAAGACCACAUUUCAAAAGAAAUGCGGGAAAAGGAGUCUCAAACCUUCACUCGAGGAUGAGUUCGCGCAACAUUAGCUUGUUGGUGAGAUAAAAGCUCACCAAGGCUACGAUGUUUAGCCGGCCUGAGAGGGUGAUCGGCCAUACUGGAACUGAGACACGGUCCAGACUCCUACGGGAGGCAGCAGUGGGGAAUAUUGCACAAUGGAGGCAACUCUGAUGCAGCAAUGUCGCGUGAGUGAAG